UGUUCAUAGCAGAAUUAUUCUAACAGUCAAAAAGUGGAAAUUCACCAAAAGUUCCAUCAACAGAAGAACCUCUCAAAAAAUAAAGAGUAUUACUAGAUCUUCUCUUUUGUAAAUGUCUGUAUCAGCACAAAAGUGGGCCUUUACCAACUUACUUUUUAUUCCACGUCUCUAUUUCAUGAUAUCUUCCUAGCAUAAGAUCAGGUUUAAUGUAGAGUUUCAUUACUUUUUAUAGCUUUGUUUUCAACAGCAAAGUCACUGACGAGUCACACAUUCAGUUCUCAAUUUAGAGCACUUUUUAAAUCAGUAACAUGUUGUCCUCGAGACCAGAGAGAACUAAGAGCAAGCCACGGGCAGGUGUGAACAUUCCGAAUCAUUCAUCCAGUAAGCAUUUCACCGAGCACUCACGGAUCCCAGGCUGCUGCUAUGUGCUGGGAACAGGUCAGUGAGCAAGAAUGAUGUGGACUCUGCCCCGUGGACAGUUCAGGGGACCAUCAGUCAGAUGUGCUAGAUGGGAAGAGCACAC